CAGGAUGAACGCUAGCGGUGUGUUAACACAUGCAAGUCGAGCGCAUCUUCGGAUGAGCGGCAGACGAGAGAGUAACACGUUGGUACCUACCCCAUACUCAGGGAUAACCCUCCGAAAGGAGGGCUAAUACCGGAUGGUCCCGCAAGGGUAAAGCUUUUGCGGUAUGGGAGGGGCCUGCGGCCUAUCAGCUAGUUGGUAAGGUAAAGGCUUACCAAUGCGAUGACGGGUAGUUGAUGUGAGAGCAUGAUCAGCCUCGAUGGGACUGCGACACGGCCCAUACUCCUACGGGAGGCAGCAGUGAAGAAUCUUCCGCAAUGGACGAAAGUCUGACGGAGCAACACCGCGUGAAGGACGAAGGCCCUCGGGUCGUAAACUUCUUUUCUGAGGGAAUAAGUUCUGAAGGUACCUCAGGAAUAAGGCGCUGCUAACUACGUGCCAGCAGCAGCGGUAAUACGUAGGCGCCAAGCGUUAUCCGGAAUUACUGGGCGUAAAGCGUCCGUAGGCGGCUAAAUUAGUCGGGUGUUAAAUUUUCGUGCCUAACGCGAAAAACGUACUCGAAACUGUUUAGCUACGAGUCUGAAAGAGGUCACUGGAAUUCCUACUGGAGGGGUAAAAUCCGUAGAUAGUAGGAGGAACACCAAAAGCGAAGGCAGGUGGCUGGUUCAGUACUGACGCUCAGGGACGAAAGCGUGGGGAGCAAACAGGAUUAGAUACCCUGGUAGUCCACGCCGUAAACGAUGAGUGCUAGGCGUUGAAGAGUUGUUUCGACCCUCUUCAGUGUCCAAAGUUAACACGUUAAGCACUCCGCCUGGGGAGUACGGCCGCAAGGCUAAAACUCAAAGGAAUAGACGGGGGCCCGCACAAGCGGUGGAGCAUGGGGUUUAAUUCGACAAUAAGCGAGGAACCUCACCUAGGCUUGACAUCUCGAGAAAGCUCUGGAAACAGAGCCGUGCAUUUUGGAACUCGAUGACAGGCGCUGCAUGGUUGUCGUCAGCUCGUGCCAUGAGGUGUUCGGUUAAGUCCGUAAACGAGCGCAACCCUCGUCGUGUGUUGUAUUUUUCACGCGAG
rnacentral:rRNA from 1 species